rnacentral:rRNA from 1 species
UGGUCAAGUUAUUAAGGGUGCAGGGCGGAUGCCUUGGCACUAGGAGCCGAUGAAGGACGUGAUAAGCUGCGAUAAGCUUCGGGGAGUUGCACGUAAACUUUGAUCCGAAGAUUUCCGAAUGAGGAAACUCACUUAGAGUAAUGUCUAAGUAUCAUUAAGUGAAUACAUAGCUUAAUGAGGGGAACUCAGGGAACUGAAACAUCUAAGUACCUGAAGGAAGAGAAAGAAAUUCGAUUCCGUAAGUAGCGGCGAGCGAACGCGGAUUAGCCCAAACUAAUAAAGUUUUCUUUAUUGGGGUUGCGGACAUAUCAUAACGAAGAGGUAUCGUAAUUGAAGAGGUUUGGAAAGACCCACCACAGAAGGUAAUAGUCCUGUAUGUUAAACGAGAAGACUUUAGAUAUGAUCCAGAGUACCACGGGACACGUGAAACCCUGUGGGAAGCAGGAGGGACCACCCUCCAAGGCUAAAUACUACCUAGUGACCGAUAGCGUAUAGUACCGUGAGGGAAAGGUGAAAAGAACCCCGGGAGGGGAGUGAAAUAGAACCUGAAACCCUGCACUUACAAGCUGUGGAAGCACAUUUCUUGUGUGACCGCGUACUUUUUGUAGAACGGGCCAACGAGUUACGUUAAGUAGCAAGGUUAAGCACUUAAGGUGUGGAGCCGUAGCGAAAGCGAGUUUUAACUGAGCGUUCAGUUACUUGACGUAGACCCGAAACCGGGCGACCUACCCAUGAGCAGGAUGAAGCGAAAGUAAAAUUUCGUGGAGGUCCGAACCCACGAGCG